AGUCAAUAGAUACCCUGGUAGUCCACGCCGUAAACGAUGAUAACUAGCUGUCCGGGCUCAUGGAGCUUGGGUGGCGCAGCUAACGCAUUAAGUUAUCCGCCUGGGGAGUACGGUCGCAAGAUUAAAACUCAAAGGAAUUGACGGGGGCCUGCACAAGCGGUGGAGCAUGUGGUUUAAUUCGAAGCAACGCGCAGAACCUUACCAGCCUUUGACAUCCCGGUCGCGGUUUUCAGAGAUGAAUUCCUUCAGUUCGGCUGGACCGGUGACAGGUGCUGCAUGGCUGCCGUCAGCUCGUGUCGUGAGAUGUUGGGUUAAGUCCCGCAACGAGCGCAACCCUCGUCCUUAGUUGCUACCAUUUAGUUGGGCACUCUAAGGAAACUGCCGGUGAUAAGCCGGAGGAAGGUGGGGAUGACGUCAAGUCCUCAUGGCCCUUAUAGGCUGGGCUACACACGUGCUACAAUGGCGGUGACAGUGGGCAGCGACCCCGCAAGGGUGAGCUAAUCUCCAAAAGCCGUCUCAGUUCGGAUU
rnacentral:rRNA from 1 species